CGCGUAGGCGGCUUGGUCAGUCGGAUGUGAAAGCCCCGGGCUUAACCUGGGAACUGCAUUCGAUACUGCCGAACUAGAGUCUGGGAGAGGGAAGUGGAAUUUCCGGUGUAGCGGUGAAAUGCGUAGAUAUCGGAAGGAACACCAGUGGCGAAGGCGACUUCCUGGCCCAAGACUGACGCUGAGGUGCGAAAGCGUGGGGAGCAAACA
rnacentral:rRNA from 1 species